rnacentral:rRNA from 1 species
CCCUUAGAUGUUCGGAGCUGCACGCGCGCUACACUGAUGCAUUCAACGAGUCUAAAACCUGGUCUGAGAGGGCUGGGUAAUCUUUUGAAAGUGCAUCGUGAUUGGGAUAGAUGAUUGCAAUUCUUCAUCUUCAACGAGGAAUGCCUAGUAAACGCAAGUCAUCAGCUUGCAUUGAUUACGUCCCUGCCCUUUGUACACACCGCCCGUCGCUCCUACCGAUUGAACGAUCCGAUGAAAACUGUGGAUUGAGAGUCUGAGUGGGUUCGCCUACCUCAACUUUCGAGAAGCGGUUUAAAUCUUAUCGUUUAGAGGAAGGAGAAGUCGUAACA